AGAGGAAUGGCGGAGACGGCCGAUGGGAGAAAAUUUCUUGAUAUGGUGAGUUGAAUUAAUUACUCACGAGGACAAAUGUUUUCCAAAAGUAACCAAACAGAUGAAAAUUGGAAAGAAAACAAAACUUUUUCCAGAAAAAGACUUCCAAUGAAAUUAUUUUCCCAAAGAAAAUAUUUUACAUCCUACCAAACAGACCCUAAGUCAUUUAUGAACAUAUUUCUUUGUUAUUACCUAUAAUGACUAGCUGCUAGCUUGAAAUUUUAGCAAGAGACAUGGACUAGUCACAAUUUUCAUUUAUUCCUCCGUACUUCUGUUAACUACUCAGCUAUAAAUACCUCUAGAAUUAUUGCCUGCAUUUGUGACUUUUUAUGUGAGUUGGACAAAGGCAAGCCAGCAACCACACAUAACCAGAUAAAGAAAUGAGAUUAAAAAGUGGUCUAUUUACACAUCUGGGUCCCUACUAGUACAGGUCCAUACUCCACAGUAUUAAAAGUAUAUAGUGAUAAAGAUUGUGAUUAAGGACCAAAUCUUGGUAACCCACAAAUUUUCUUAAUUUUAAACUUAAUGUUUUUCAUUUUGUAUUAUAAAUAAGUAGCAAAAAUUGGAGCUAAUGUUACUUGGAGACUCUGCAACAUUGUGGAAUUCCAUUUUUUUGUUCUCAACUACCCCAUUUGAAAUACUUUUCCCCAAGAAUUCACAAUGAGGUUGGUGUCUAUUUAGGCCCCAUCUAUUGGAGCUGUCACCUCAUGAGUCAUAACUAGGUGUUGAGUACCACUUCAUUUAAUUAGGUAUGAGCUCACAUGCAAAUGGUACUCAGAACCUAUAAAAUCAAAGUCAAAAUGUAUUAAGUAAUAACUUUUAAGGCCCUGUUUGGAUUGCAAUUUUAUGUCGAAAAAUUGCGUCGUUUUCCGUGAUCACAUUUUUCUAUUAACUUUUUUCCUCAUAUACAUCAAAUCGUUAUAGUAAAUUUUUCAUGAAAAAUCAUGAAAAAUGCAAUUCAAACGGGGCCUUAGGGUACAGAUUUAAAUUAUAGAGAUUUUUCUAUUUUGUAGGAAUUAUGUUUUUGUUUGUUCACAUUAGAAAUUGGACUUCAGCCUAUGUAUCACUAAUUAUUCAUUUUCUAGAUAUGAGGUUUUAAUAGAUUACUAGCAGGCUAUGAGAAAUUAUUCUGUCUAUGAAAAAGAGCUUCAAGACUCCAACAUUGGGAAAGCCUUCGAACUUUAAAGUAGCUUAAGUGACUAAGGACCAGGGGUUGCUCAAAAAAAAAAAAAAAAAAAAAAAAGACUAUGGAUUAAAUAAACUUAACAUCUAAAUAUUUUAUUUAUGAAUAGGGAUUAAACAAAUUUACACUCUAUAUACAUUCCGAUUUUGUCAAAUUUCAAAUAAGAGCUUUUCUGUAAAUUACUAGCCCUCUGUGUACCAUUAUUAUUAUUAUUCUUAUUAUGUCAAAGUUACUAGGCAUACAAAUUGGAAUUUUCUUAUCCCGAGAAACCUUCUGUAUCCCUGAAAAGGACAUACAACAUCAUGAUGGAUCCUCCCCAAAAAAAA
rnacentral:lncRNA from 1 species